rnacentral:rRNA from 1 species
UGGUAAUGCCGGAUGCUCCAGUUGAUCGCAUGGUCUUCUGGGAAAGCCUUUGCGGCAUGGGAUGGGGUCGCGUCCUAUCAGCUUGAUGGCGGGGUAACGGCCCACCAUGGCUUCGACGGGUAGCCGGCCUGAGAGGGCGACCGGCCACAUUGGGACUGAGAUACGGCCCAGACUCCUACGGGAGGCAGCAGUGGGGAAUAUUGCACAAUGGGCGCAAGCCUGAUGCAGCGACGCCGCGUGAGGGAUGGAGGCCUUCGGGUUGUAAACCUCUUUUGUUAGGGAGCAAGGCAUUUUGUGUUGAGUGUACCUUUCGAAUAAGCACCGGCUAACUACGUGCCAGCAGCCGCGGUAAUACGUAGGGUGCAAGCGUUAUCCGGAAUUAUUGGGCGUAAAGGGCUCGUAGGCGGUUCGUCGCGUCCGGUGUGAAAGUCCAUCGCUUAACGGUGGAUCCGCGCCGGGUACGGGCGGGCUUGAGUGCGGUAGGGGAGACUGGAAUUCCCGGUGUAACGGUGGAAUGUGUAGAUAUCGGAAAGAACACC